AACCUGCCCAUAAGACUGGGAUAACUCCGGGAAACCGGGGCUAAUACCGGAUAACAUUUUGAACUGCAUGGUUCGAAAUUGAAAGGCGGCUUCGGCUGUCACUUAUGGAUGGACCCGCGUCGCAUUAGCUAGUUGGUGAGGUAACGGCUCACCAAGGCAACGAUGCGUAGCCGACCUGAGAGGGUGAUCGGCCACACUGGGACUGAGACACGGCCCAGACUCCUACGGGAGGCAGCAGUAGGGAAUCUUCCGCAAUGGACGAAAGUCUGACGGAGCAACGCCGCGUGAGUGAUGAAGGCUUUCGGGUCGUAAAACUCUGUUGUUAG
rnacentral:rRNA from 1 species